rnacentral:lncRNA from 1 species
UUGUAACAACUUGAUGCUUUCAAUUUCCAAAUGUACUUUCUCAUCUACAUAGUUUGGACAGAUUCACAUUUUCUGAUAAAUAGAAAAAGCUAAUUAAACCCAAAAUGUAAACAACAAAAAGUUAUUAAAAGGUUCUAAUUAAAAAACUAAACAAGAAACGGUUCUUAUAAUCUCUUGUCUCUUGUACAAAUGAGAGAAAAAGCCGCUUAAGUCAAAACUGAACCAAAACCGAACCAAGUCAAACCCGGUCUAAGCCGGAUAUUGAAGCCCCAACUCCACAUUCCAUGAGCCAACACCACAAUCCUUCAAUACAACCCUUCUUUUCUUCACAGGAACCACAUGGUAAACACGUGAAACCGGUUCAAGCCCAAGAGUCAGCUCCAAACCAACCUUUUCCUCUCCAUUCUCACCGGUUCGGUCAGCCGGCUUCAUUUUUCGGUCCAACUCCGGUUCAUCUCUAAAUAAGAUCAUCGAAGUUUCACUCUCGCUAUCUUUACUCUCUCCAUCCACCACCGCAACCGCCUCAGACUGGUGGCUAAUCGACGACUCAUGACUCACUGACCGGUUCAUCACCUCUUCAACCGGUUCAACCGAACCGGUCGGUUCAGUUGAACCGGAUUCAACUCCCUUGUUAUCAUUACUACUCUUUUCCUCUUCUUGUAUUUUCAGCUUGGCUAAACUCGACCGCUUACGCGACCGAGGCUUGACUCGUUGUUGAGUCAACUCAGUCGACGCGGCUGAGUUUUCCUCCUUCGACACAUGGCGGAUGUCAUAGGCUUUGAGUGGUGGGCCCCUCCCGUUAGCAGCUGCUUCCGAAGUUAUCGGCGUGAUCGGUGCGCCUUUCAAAACGGCUUCCACCGCGGCUUGACAUAGCUGCCAGCUUCCGGACCAUAAUAAACCGACUGAACCGUAAAUUGGGUUCACUAUUCGACCACAUGCUUCGUACAACAACGAACGAAAAAUUGCUGCAAAUUAAAAACAAAAAAUAUCAAUAACUUGUUUCUUGAUUAAAAAAAUUGACAAAAAAAAACACUUGUUUCUAUGUGUGUGCUCUCAGGUUCUAAAUAUAAGAAAAUUUCGUCUAUAAAUAUAUCAACUUUUAUUGAUCCAACUUUUUCUUAUAGAGAGAUAUGUGUGUCCAAUUGCAUGUUUAGAUAAACGGUGAGAUUUAACAAAACUAUAUAUUCUCAUAUAUGUAAUUUUAUUAAGGUCACCGUCAAUCUAAACAUGCACUAAAAUUGUAAAAUAAUUAUUAAUGUCACUUUUUACGAACCUGGACGAAGAUGUUCGGGACCAGCGUUAACAAGGUUCAUGAGACCAGCACGACCGUAGAAUUUGGCGAGAAACACGGUGGCAUUAGCCUGUGAUUCAGGGCUUUUGAUCCAUUGCAAACAAGGUCUUAUGCUACAGUUUUCACUGCAACCUUUUCUUAGUACUCUACAACCGUUGCAACUCAUCCGCAUUUUUAAUGAAAAUUUUUCAAAGAC